CGCGUAGACGGUUUGUAAGUCAGAUGUGAAAUCCCUGGGCUCAACCUGGGAACUGCAUUUGAAACUGCAUGGCUAGAGUAUGGAAGAGGGAAGUGGAAUUUCCGGUGUAGCGGUGAAAUGCGUAGAUAUCGGAAGGAACACCAGUGGCGAAAGCGACUUCCUGGUCCAAUACUGACGUUCAUGUGCGAAAGCGUGGGGAGCAAACAGGAUUAGAUACCCUGGUAGUCCACGCCAUAAACGAUGACAACUAGAUGUUGGGAGGGUCUGCCUCUCGGUGUCGCAGCUAACGCGUUAAGUUGUCCGCCUGGGGAGUACGGCCGCAAGGUUGAA
rnacentral:rRNA from 1 species